GCUCGUGUAGCUCAGUUGGGAGAGCGCAAGACUGAAGAUCUUGAGGUCCCUGGUUCGAUCAGAGCGAGCA